CGCUGUGAGAAGACCAAGAUGGAAUAAAAAAAAAGACACAUAGACAACAGAUUAAGCGCAGCUGAUUAAGGGCCGUGAAUCCACGAGCGAUGUCACGCGGAAAAUGUCAACGGUUGGUAGUGUGUGUGUGUGUGUGUGUGUAAUGUGCACUUGUGCCGUUAAAGUGGCCAUUAAUUCGUGGCGGCUCGUUACGGUGGCAAGGAGCUGGGGGGGUGUUUUUUUUCCCACACACGAAACUUCCGCCGCGGUUGUGCAAUUGAUGUUUGCAGUUGAAAUUAGAAUUGAUUCGAGCCUCUGCCUGCCACCACGGUCCCGCGGUGAAUCCGAAGAAGCGCACGGUGUGUGUGUGUGUGUUUGCGGGUGUAUGUACUCCUUCGUCACUGGAUCAGGAUCGUUGGGUGGGCGAACUAACACACCAGGUCGAAGUUUGAACCUUUAGUACACUCAAACAAAACGAAACGAACGGGCGAGGAAGAAACGAACCCAAUGUCAACAUGCACACACACACACACAAUUAUUCGUGUUUUUUGCCCUUUCGGGUAAAGGGAAACACACUCACAAAAGUACGUAUACAAACACACACACACGGUCCUGAUGGUGGUAACCUACCCCCUCCCCCCCCACCUCCUCUCCCCAUUCAUCCCCCACACGAUUUGGUUGUAUAUGCAACGUCCAACGCCGAGAAGUCUCGGCGCAAAUCGCAGAACACUUUGCUGCUAGACGAAAGACUUGAGCGGGCGCGCAGGCAACAAACCCGCACUCGAGACGUUCGUGCCUUCGCUCACCGUUUGUUUGUGUCGUCGUUUCGGACCGUGCUGGGUUUAUUUGAAUUUGUUUAUCAAACACAUGCACUACAUUUGGGGGGGCUCUGUGUGGGGCUUCAGCGAUUGUUUUUAAGCCGGAAGGCUGAAUGAGGAUACUGUCCAAUUAUAUUUAAAACAUUAAAAAAAAAAUUAAAAAAAAAAAAUUAAGAACUGCUGAUGUAAUUAAACACUCAGAAGGGUAUUCUGAUUAAAAAAUUUUUAGUGUAUUUUCAAAAAUUUUGCUUGCAUAGAAGACGGGCAAAUUAAUUAAAACAUGUUAUUCAACGACCAUUGACGCCACCAAUAAAAGGUCACAGUAGGCUGUUGGAUGCGCUUCUGCCUCUGCGACCGUUGUCAGCGAAAUCGAAAUGUCAUUUAAGUUGCCAACUCGUCACAAACACACACACAUUCCGCAGCUUCUUCAGUCGCCAUUCGGAGAGACAUCUUUCUUGCCGUUUGCUGCCGGUAGCGAAACAGUGUGUUGUUGUACAUCACCAUUAUCUUGUCAGUAAGGGCCGGACACAAAACCGAAGAACACAAAUCAACUAACCAAAAAAACAAAAAAAAACAAGCAAACGGGAUGCGAGUGUCAAAGGAAUGUGACCAUUGGAGAGGAAAGGAGUUGAGCGUGCAGCUUCCAACACAAACUGCACUUAAAACAAUAUCGGCACAACCUACACAAACCAAAGGCACUGGAUGCACUGGUAUGUUUUGUUUAUUCUUUCACGUUCAGUGUUUGUCGUAGUUCAUUUUUCACACAAUUUUGCACUU